GUGUUCCCUUCUGUAGCCCAGGUAUUAAAACUUGGAACAACAUAGAGAUCCACAUGGCCCCUGCUCGAGGAUGAUACACAAGUUCAUGAGAUAUUCCAUAUUUUU